rnacentral:rRNA from 1 species
AGCGAACGCUGGCGGCAGGCCUAACACAUGCAAGUCGAGCGAACCUUUCGGGGUUAGUGGCGGACGGGUGAGUAACACGUGGGAACGUGCCUUUAGGUUCGGAAUAACUCAGGGAAACUUGUGCUAAUACCGAAUGUGCCCUUCGGGGGAAAGAUUUAUCGCCUUUAGAGCGGCCCGCGUCUGAUUAGCUAGUUGGUUGAGGUAAUGGCUCACCAAGGCGACGAUCAGUAGCUGGUCUGAGAGGAUGAUCAGCCACAUUGGGACUGAGACACGGCCCAAACUCCUACGGGAGGCAGCAGUUGGGAAUCUUGCGCAAUGGGCGAAAGCCUGACGCAGCCAUGCCGCGUGAAUGAUGAAGGUCUUAGGAUUGUAAAAUUCUUUCACCGGGGACGAUAAUGACGGUACCCGGAGAAGAAGCCCCGGCUAACUUCGUG